rnacentral:ncRNA from 10 species
CAUAGCCAAAUAUAACUAAAGGAUUAAGAGUAGGGUUGCUCACAAACCUAACAUCGCCACCACCUGGUGCCCAUGUAUCAUAUACCCCUCCAACAAAUAAAGACUUGAUUACUAAUAGAAAUGCUCCAAUUCCUAGUAAUACUAAAUGUAUACCAAGAAUUGUUGUCAUCUUGUUUUUAUCGCGCCA